rnacentral:rRNA from 1 species
GGAUCCCAUCAGAACUCCGCCGUUAAGCGUGCUUGGGGCAGAGUAUUACUAGGAUGGAUGACCUCCUGGGAAGUCCUC